rnacentral:lncRNA from 1 species
AUGAUGAUGAUGAUGAUGAUGAUGCACCCGAUGCGACCCUGACUCAGUCCAAAAAGUUUUCGUUCUCGCUACCUCGGCUGAGCCGAACUCCAUUGCGCGCAAUGGGCAACGGAUGCCGGCAACCUACCUACUCAGCCGCAUCGUCUCACGAAUGACUACAAUAUUUAGUCAUUUAGAGUACGAUGAAAAACGCCGAAUUCAAGAUAGAACGACAGUAAAUACGAUUUUAAAAUGCCUUUUAUAAAGUUAACAGAUGUAGUAUGAAAGCAGAAGGAACAGGGAAGAAAAUUAGGGAAACACGAUCGAUCGAAUCGACCAUACGUAUAUUUGCUUAUUGUCGAUUACCGAAGGGUCAACUCACAGCCUAUAGCAUUGAGAAAAUCUUUUAUUUUUGUCAAUUAUUUUUGUAAAUAAUGAAAUAGGAAAAUGUGCACACAAAGCUUUGUGGAUUUGUUGGUAUGGAAAGGUUGCUUCGGUGACGAUGUACCGUAUAGCGAAUUAAUGCCAGGGCGUCAUUCCCUGUCGAUUUGUUUUCCUUUUCGAAAACCCGACUAGUAAAGGUCGAAUCAAGGAUCGAACGACAGAAUAUAUGAUUUUUAAUUCUUUUUAAAAAUGCAGCAGACGUUUUACAAAAGCAGAAUUAAUCAGCAAAAGGAUUAAACACAUCGGCAAACACGAAAUUGACAGAAUUCCUAUACGUGCUUGCAUCGUGUAACGAAGGGUCAACAACAAAGGCUAUAGCACUGGGAGAAGUGCUGAUAUUUUUAAUAAAGAGAAAAAAAAAUGUCUAAAGAGCUUUGUGGAGUUUUUUAAUAUGUGAAAGUCUGUGUUGUUUUUAUUUUGAUGAGGAGUAGAGGUGGGGGGACGUCAGUCAGUGUCAUUUGAUUUCCUUUUCCAAAGAGUUCCAAAACACGUCCAGAAUGCUUUCUAAAAAGUAUAGAGGCGGAUCACAAAAGCAGAAGGAAACGUGGGGAAAUUAUAUAUUGUAUGCACUAUAAUAUUAUAUUGUUAGCCUUAGUCUUUUAAGGUUCGAUUUUCUUCUGGUACAAAGUUAGGAAGUAUUUUUUCUGUAAGGGAGGAGUCAUUUCGAUGUUCUCUCCUUAAAACAAAAGAAAAAGAAACAAAACCAAAAACUGGUUAUUUAGAAAAGUAAAAUUAAGAAAUAAAAUCAUACAAAUAGAUAAAACAUGUAUAAUAUCACCAAGAAGAAUUAAUGUCAAAGCUAAUGAAAACGAGAACCCCACUAAUACGUGUCUCCCUGUUGGGAGCUCUUCCAUUAGUCUCGGUGCGUCCACGUGUGUGUACUCGAUUAUUAACUUCGUCAUAAGCAGUUGCUUUCUUACUUUACGCUUGCAGUGAAUCAACUAUGCCACGGCCAAGAAAGUGGUAUCCAGGUGGAUAUAUUUCCUAUAUGGAUAAACGCGGGCAUGUUCGUCAGCGUAGGGUACGAUUUUCAUCGCAGGCUGUUAGGGCUUGUACGGAGGAAAAUAGAACUCUUCAACAGGGGCAAAGUGGACGUUUAAGCACCCAUCAACGGGAGGAAUGUGCCACCUUCCAGGAUAUUCUUCUAGAUAGCAAUUCAUCAGAUGUAGCUGGAGUCAGCAAUCACAAGAAGAAAAAAGUGUCUGAGGCUGAGGGCUGGAAAGAUCUGCGAGCAGGUCUUGUUCGUGUCCACAUUGAAGGAUUCAGUCCUGCCACAAAAAAGUGCAGCUUCUGUGGCUGUACACAGGUCCAGAGAUUAUCUGGUGUCCUGACUGUGGACCUAGAAGCCUUUAUUGCAAGGCUUGUGAUGAGAAGAUCCAUUGUUUGGUGCUGUAUCAUCAGACAUACAGUUGGAAAGAAGAUGCAUCAUUGUUUGCACCUGUGUUAAGAGAAACAACCAUUUUGUCUGAGCACCAGUGUGACAAGCUCUACUACCGUCAGAUUACAGUUUUUGAUGCACAAGGCAGAGAUCACACAAUCAAAAUGCAGUUUUGUGAGUGUGAGCCGGAAGCUGUAACGUUAGUUAGAAUGGGUUAUGGCCAUCAACUCCGAAGAAGCCAGAGACAGCAUUCUGCAUGAAACUAAUGGAGCUAUGCAGAAUGCUACAACUAGAAGGGCAAAUGUCUCUGCAGAAAUUUUGUAAUGCAUUGCAGCGGAGGACAACAUUUCUGCACAGUCACAGCAGGGACUACAGAAACCUGUAUAAGGCAC